rnacentral:rRNA from 1 species
CCUACGGGAGGCAGCAGUGGGGAAUUUUGGACAAUGGGGGAAACCCUGAUCCAGCGAUGCUGCGUGCGGGAAGAAGGCCUUAGGGUUGUAAACCGCUUUCAGCUAGGAAGAAGAGGUUAUAGUUAAUAUCUGUAACUCAUGACGGUACUAGCAGAAGAAGCACCGGCUAACUACGUGCCAGCAGCCGCGGUAAUACGUAGGGUGCAAGCGUUAAUCGGAAUUACUGGGCGUAAAGAGUGCGCAGGCGGCUCUUUAAGACAGGUGUGAAAUCCCCGAGCUCAACUUGGGAAUUGCGCUUGUGACUGAAGAGCUAGAGUGCGGAAGAGGGGGAUAGAAUUCCUGGUGUAGCAGUGAAAUGCGUAGAUAUCAGGAGGAAUACCGAUGGCGAAGGCAGUCCCCUGGGCCAGCACUGACGCUCAUGCACGAAAGCGUGGGGAGCAAACAGGAUUAGAUACCCUGGUAGUCCACGCCCUAAACGAUGUCAACUAGUUGUUGGAAGAGGAGACUCUUUUAGUAACGAAGCUAACGCGUGAAGUUGACCGCCUGGGGAGUACGGUCGCAAGAUUAAAACUCAAAGGAAUUGACGG